rnacentral:rRNA from 1 species
GACGAACGCUGGCGGCGUGCUUAACACAUGCAAGUCGAACGGACAGGCCCUGCUUUUGUGGGGUGCUCGAUUGGCGAACGGGUGAGUAACACGUGAGUAACCUGCCCUUGACUUUGGGAUAACUUCAGGAAACUCGGGCUCAUACCGGAUAGGAUCUCCUGCUGCAUGGUGGGGGUUGGAAAGUUUCGGCGGUUGGGGAUGGACUCGCGGCUUAUCAGCUUGUUGGUGGGGUAGUGGCUUACCAAGGCUUUGACGGGUAGCCGGCCUGAGAGGGUGACCGGCCACCUUGGGCCUGAGAUACGGCGCAGACUCCUACGGGAGGCAGCAGUGGGGAAUAUUGCAGAAUGGGCGGAAGCCUGAUGCAGCAGCGCCGCGUGCGGGAUGACGGCCUUCGGGUUGUAAACCGCUUUCGCCUGUGACGAAGCGUGAGUGACGGUAAUGGGUAAAGAAGCCCCGGCUAACUACGUG